CUAGCAAUAUGUUCUCAAUGUUGUUCCUUUGCAAACUUUGAUACAGAGCUUUGCAUUCUAGUGGUCAGAAUACAGAUGUAAUUGUGCUAAAACUUGCAGGAUGUAGGCUGGAAAUCGUUCUUGGCAUUGGAGUAUGGCAUAGCAGCUUUUUGCGCAGUUGUAUUUCCUGUCACUGUGGGCUGCAGGGCACAGUAAUACAAAGCAGAAUCUUCCACUUGUGUAGAAGAGAUGCUAAGAUCCAUGCGUUUAAGUCCUCGAUCAGCAACAGCGGACAGGCGAAGAGUGGGCUCUGACUGAGGGUUGCUCUCGACUUUCAAGAAGGAAUGCAUAUUGCUAUGCAAACUGGUCUAACGGCAUCAUUAACUGGUUUUAUUACACGGCUCUCUGGAAUACUCUAUUCUGCUUGGUCAAUGGCACUGUCCAGUUGUCAGAUUAUUCUGAAACAACCGCACAUCCAGGAAUUAAGAGGUAUCAGACUGCUCAUCCAGGUUCUGCGAGUCAUCUCUUGUUUCUUGGAUCACUGUGCGAUCUCUACAAGUGAGCUAAUAAAAUA